rnacentral:rRNA from 1 species
UAGUCCACGCUGUAAACGAUGAGUGCUAGGUGUCGGGGGUCGACAGGCCUUCGGUGCCGACGCAAACGCAUUAAGCACUCCACCUGGGGAGUACGAUCGCAAGAUUGAAACUCAAAGGAAUUGACGGGGGCCCGCACAAGCGGUGGAGCAUGUGGUUUAAUUCGAAGCAACGCGAAGAACCUUACCAAGUCUUGACAUCCCAUUGACCGCUUCGUAAUGGAAGUUUCCUCUUCGGAGGCAAUGGUGACAGGUGGUGCAUGGUUGUCGUCAGCUCGUGUCGUGAGAUGUUGGGUUAAGUCCCGCAACGAGCGCAACCCUUAUCUCUAGUAGCCAGCAAUACGGUUGGGGACUCUAGAGAGACUGCCGGGGAUAACUCGGAGGAAGGUGGGGAUGACGUCAAAUCAUCAUGCCCCUUAUGACUUGGGGCUACACACGUGCUACAAUGGUGGUGACAAA